AACGCACGAGACCUGCGGACCUGCGGAGGGAUCAUUAAUGAGAAACUGCCCCUCGCGGGUAGAUCUCCCACCCUUUGUAAACUUACCUUUGUUGCUUUGGCAGGCCCGUCUCCGGACCGCCGGCUUCGGCUGGCCAGUGCCUGCCAGAGGAUUCUAAAACUCUGUCUGUCAGUGUUGUCUGAGUCUAUAUACAAUCGUUAAAACUUUCAGCAAUGGAUCUCUAGAUCGGAAGAGCACACG
rnacentral:misc_RNA from 1 species